UUACCUUUGCCCAUGAAGCCAUAAAAAUAUAUAAAUCCCAAGAAUGACAUUUCUUAACGAAUUAUCAACAUUCACAACAUUUCUAUGAGGUUGGCUGUGGCUUUCCACUGGGCUAUGGAUUUACAGUGAAUACUUAUAAUAUUAUGUUGCCUGGGCAUCUAUUUUGAGUAUCAGAUUGUCUUGUACCAGGAGCAGAACACAGACAUCACUCACCAAAUUUCCAGUUCUCAGCUCUCUCCCAGUUACUGAAUGUGGAAGGCAAGGUACUUCUAUGGAAGGGUGUGCUCUCACAGAUGGAGCAAUGAUUUUUCUCUUCAAACUUUUUAAACAUGUCUUGGCUUAGUUCUUCUGCUUGAUUUUCCAAAAGAACAAGCUUCUUUGGAUAAGAUGGAAUAUUUGAUCCAUUCCAACCAGGCGCUUGCAUCUUGGUGUCCUGUCUUAAUUGCCAAAGGCUGACUGUU
ensembl:lncRNA LINC02342 long intergenic non-protein coding RNA 2342